GAAUUUUACAAAUAACAGGCAAAGUAAAUCCUCAGAGAUCACCUAGCUAUGACGAUCUAUGAGACGAAGAAUAUCGCCUGAACUAAAGGCAAGAUUCACGUGAGGAUUUGAGCUAAUAAAAGAUGGACUUUCUUAAUCAAGUUGGAACUUCUCAAGACCCUCCUGGGAACAAGAAAUCGUCCUCUCGUUGGGGUGUGGUCAGAAAGUAAGGUACAGACGAUGAGCCAGAUCAGGAGAAAUUCAAGGGUGAGAGACAUCUU
rnacentral:lncRNA from 1 species